rnacentral:misc_RNA from 1 species
UCCGGUUCAUCACCGGCAGUCUCCCUAGAGUGCUCACCAUUACAUGCUAGCAACUAAGGACAAGGGUUGCGCUCGUUACGGGACUUAACCCAACAUCUCACAACACGAGCUGACGACAGCCAUGCAGCACCUGUCUUCUGGUUCCUUGCGGCACUCCCGCCUUUCAGCAGGAUUCCAGAGAUGUCAAGGGUAGGUAAGGUUCUUCGCGUUGCAUCGAAUUAAACCACAUGCUCCACCGCUUGUGCGGGCCCCCGUCAAUUCAUUUGAGUUUUAACCUUGCGGCCGUACUUCCCAGGCGGAGAACUUAUCGCGUUAGCUUCGAUACCAAACAGCCAAGCUGCCUGACAUCCAGUCCUCAUCGUUUACAGCGUGGACUAC